rnacentral:rRNA from 1 species
UACAGAGGGGGCAAGCGUUAUUCGGAAUUAUUGGGCGUAAAGGGCGCGUAGGCGGCGAUUCAAGUGACGGGUGAAAUCCCUCGGCUUAACCGAGGAACUGCCUGUCAGACUGGAUUGCUUGAGGCCGGGAGAGGCGAGUGGAACUGCGAGUGUAGAGGUGAAAUUCGUAGAUAUUGGGAAGAACACCGGUGGCGAAGGCGGCGACCUGGUCCGAUACUGACGCUGAGGCGCGAAAGCGUGGGGAGCAAACAGG